AGAAUCCAUGACACAAGAAGUAGAGCCAUCAGCUAAAGUAAUUGUGAAAGGGGCAGUUAAAGACUAGAAACCAGAUAAAAGAUUAGAAUUACUUGUCAUAUGAUCUGUAGCACCAGAAUCAAUGACCCAUUUGGACGAGGAGGAUACAAGGCAUGUAGUGAAUUUACCCGACUCAACAAUGGUAGAUCGGCUUUAGAGAUGCCUGAUACUAGGAAAACUGUGCAAAAUCCUCUGCGGAUACCAAAACAGUUUUCUCAGAGAAAGAUACUGU
rnacentral:misc_RNA from 1 species